CAGCAGCCGCGGGAAUACGAAGGGUGCAAGCGUUAAUCGGAAUUACUGGGCGUAAAGCGUGCGUAGGCGGUUUGUUAAGUCUGCUGUGAAAUCCCCGGGCUCAACCUGGGAAUGGCAGUGGAUACUGGCAAGCUAGAGUGUGUCAGAGGAUGGUGGAAUUCCCGGUGUAGCGGUGAAAUGCGUAGAGAUCGGGAGGAACAUCAGUGGCGAAGGCGGCCAUCUGGGACAACACUGACGCUGAGGCACGAAAGCGUGGGGAGCAAACAGGAUUAGAGACCCGCGUAGUCCCUGUCUCUUAUAC
rnacentral:rRNA from 1 species